GGAUGGUAUUGAUUGCACAGUGCCGUUAAAGAUGUGCCUCUGUCCUCCGUGUUUCCUACGCAGUGGUAGCUGGAUCCAGAGGUCUGGUCAGACUUGGGGCUGAUUCAGUUGGGCAGGUUUACAGAUGGUGUAAUGCUUCCACCAGUUACACAUUACAUCUGGUUUUUGUUCAUUUUGGUUCUGUUACCUAUAUCUGGUAGUUCCCCGGGAGCUGCAAAAUUGUGAGAUUCUGAUUUUAUCCUUUUGUUUUCAUUUGUUAGCUAGAACAUAAUUGUAUAUGGCAGUGCUUCCUGGCGUCUAUUCGGUUGCCCAGUUGUGCGGUUUAUAUCAGAAAGGCGAGAUAAGGGCUUGAUAUUUUUCUUUACCCAAUUUUCAAAUAAUGCAUUAGGUACCCUUAAGCCUUUUUUUUUUUUUUUUUUAAUGUUUAUUUUUUGAGAGAGAGAGACAGAGAGAGUGGUGGAGGAGCAGAGAGAGGGGGGCACAGAGGAUCCCAAGCGAGCUCUGCACGGACAGCAGCGAGCCUGAUGUGGGGCUCAGAGUCACAAACCACGAGAUGAUGACCCCGCCUGAAGCUAGAUGCCCAACCACUGAGCCGCCCAGGCGCCCCGCCUUCAACCUGUUUUGGCCGGUUUCAGAUCAUUGCAGUUCCUGAUCCUUACUGAGGCCCGAUUCCUCCAUCCUGGCUACUGGGAGCCUCCUGCAGUGGCUUCUGAGUGCCUUUGGUACGACCCCCCUGGCCUGCUCGUGUCCUGGCGUCUGUGUGUCUAGGUGCUCUGUCCUUGUCUCGUACGGUUUCCACAGCAGAUCCGGGAUCGGCAUUUCUUCUAGAACCCAAAGAAUGUCUUUCCAUGAGUAGUGAUUUUUAAGAGCAUAGUCUGGGCCAUUUAGAGGUCUCAUUGUUACCAGGUUGGUCAUUAUUUCUGGAUAUUUUGAUUUAUGUAUUUGAAAAUUUCUAAAACUUCAGUGGACAGACUGGGAAAUAUCCAUUAUGUCUCAUAACUCAUACAAUAUUUUUUUUUUAAAUUUUUUUUUUUUUCCCAACGUUUUUAUUUAUUUUUGGGACAGAGAGAGACAGAGCAUGAACGGGGGAGGGCAGGGACAGAGAGAGACAGAGCAUGAACGGGGGAGGGGCAGAGAGAGAGGGAGACACAGAAUCGGAAACAGGCUCCAGGCUCCGAGCCGUCAGCCCAGAGCCUGACGCGGGGCUCGAACUCACGGACCGCGAGAUCGUGACCUGGCUGAAGUCGGACGCUUAACCGACUGCGCCACCCAGGCGCCCCACUCAUACAAUAUUUUAAUGAUAGGGUUUUUAUUUAGCCUCAUCUUUAUUCCAUCUGUAUCUGCUUUCUUUCAUACAGAGGUGCCCGAUUCUCAGGGACACAGAAUCUCCCACAAUUGUUUUAUCUCACCUUACACCUACAGUAGUCUCAGAGUGACAGUAUUUUUUUUUUUUUAAUGUUUAUUUUUAUUUUUGAGAGAGAGAGAGAGAGAGAGAGUGCGCAAGCCAGGGAGGGGCAGAGAGAGAGGGAGACACAGAAUCUGAAGCCGGCACCAGGCUCUAAGCUGUCAGCACAGAGCCCGACGCUGGGCUUGAGCUCAUGAACCGUGAGAUCAUGACCUGAGCUGAAGUCGGACACUUAAUUGAACUGAGCCACCCAGGCGCCCCUCAGAGUGACAGUAUUAAUACUGCCACCACCAGUUAUGGUAACUGAAAAAGAGUUUUUUAAAACAACUUUGCACUCUCCUUAUGAGAUUUGGAUUCUGUUGUUUCAUUUUCAUUUCUUAGCCAUAAUAAUUUUAUAUGUUCUUUCCCAAUGUUUUUAUUAAAUAAUUUUUUUCAUGUUUAUUUACUUUGAGACAGAGAGAGUGCGUGCGCUCGCAUGUGCGGAGUGGGGGGAGGGGCAGAGAGAGGAGAGCACAGAGGAUCCUAAGUGGGCUCUGUGCUGUCAGUGGAGAGCCUGAUGAGGGGCUCGAACUCAUGAACCAUGAGGUCAUGACCUGAGCUGAAGUUGGACGCUCUGCCAGCUGAGCUCCACCCCCGUCGCCACCCCGCCCAUCCCCGACCAUGUUUUAAAUGAUGGUACUUUGUCUACAUUUUCCAAGUGUCUGUGUAUAUUUAAUCUCCACCAUUAGUCCUGCUCUAGAUGUCUCUCUAGUCAUGUUAGUUUUCUGAGUUUGUUUUCUAGUAGAGUCCUUAGAGAGGGCUUAUAGGAACACUAUUUCCUGACCUCUUCAAUGCUUCGAACAGAUUGAUUGUGCUCUUAUACGUGAAGGUCAGAUUUGCUGGCUCAUGUUUCCUUUUUUAAAUUGGGGUGUAGUUGGCACACACCGUUAGUUUCAUGUAUCAACACGAUUCAGUAUUUGUAUGUGGUGCAGAAUCAUCAGCGUAGUAAAUCUGUACCCAUCACCACACGCAGUUACGGAAUCUGUUUUUCUCGUGAUGAGAACUUACUCUUUUAGCAGCUUCCAGAUUUUCACCAUGCUAUGGUUAACUAUAGCUGCCACAUCAUGUUUUCGCCUCUUGAGUUCCUUAAAUAUCAUUGCUGUCAAAGUAUUGAUAAUCUAAUUGUCUUUCUCAUCACUCACAUACCCUUUUUGCCUAGAUGGUGGAAGAAUUUUUUGUUUCAUUUAAAAUCCAGUAAUUUCAGUGUACAAUAUGUCUUCAUGUUGGUUUUCUGGACCAGUGUGCUCUUGAAGUAGGAAGUUUCAAAUCUUUUAAUUCAGGAGAAUGUUUUUUAGAUUAUAGUUUUUAGUGUUUGUUCUUAUACUGAAAUUCGGUUUUCUUUUUCGGAAGCUCCUGUAUCUGUAUGCUCGUUGUUCCUUGCCUGUCUUUAGUAUUUGUUACUUUCUCCCGAAUCCAUUUUAGAGUUUUUCUUUCUUUUUCUUUUUCUUUUUUUCUUUUUUUACUUCUGAAAGUCUUCUUUUCACUUUCUCCUAAGGCAUUGGUGGCUAUGUCUGUUCACUCUUGUUUCCCUUUUGUCUUAGCCUUCAUUUUUUACGUAACGUGUCUAACAUUUUGUUUCUGUAUCUUCGUGGUUCUGAUUGAAGUUGCUCCAUAAUAUCUUGAUUAUUUUUUAAAUCUUUAUUGAUUUAUUUUGUGAGAGAGAGAGGGAGAGGGCACACACUAGUGCAAGUGGGGAAGGGGCAGAGGGCGAGGGAGAGACAGAAUCCCAGCAGGCUCUGUGCUGUCAGCUCACGAACCAUGAGAUCAAGACCUGAGACGAAAUCAAGAGUUGGACACUUAACUGACUGAGCCACCCAGGUGCCCCUCUUGUUUACUGGUACCUUUUGUCUUGCUUUGAAACCGCACGUUACGCUUUUGGUGGGUGUACUGUGCUGUGCACGUGUGCACAUUUUUUCCUGUGCUUUCAUUGACUGUGGGGAUGCUAUUCAGCUCCGUCUUUUUUUCUUAGUAACAUUGUAUGAAGUUAAGCCUCAGUACUUUUCCUUUGUUUAUUUUUACGAAGAGUUAAUUGUCACGAGUUUUCCGAAGGAGGUGAGGCUCGAUGGAAUUUCUUUUAACUUCACAGAACUGCCUCUUCUGUUUUCCCAAAGUGGUAAUAUAUGGCGACUUGCAUUCUGUGAUUUUUCUGACUUUUGUUGCAUUUCACUUUCAUUUAGCUCUUCUUUUCCCUUUGCUCUCUUGCUUCUGUUCUACUCAAUUUGUGAUUGUUCCAUUCCCUGUAGCUUCUCCUCUGUUAUGGCUCCUUGUCUUGGAAGGGAGCUAUGGUGAGUUUUUCUGAUUUUGUAAGUGGUUAGCCUUCUUCGCCUUCUCUGGCCUCUUUGUACUAACUUGCCGCCCAUGUAGUCAGAACCCUUGUGGCCUCCAGUGCUGUUACCACAUUGGUCUACCUUAUUGCCUUUUAGCUGUUUCGAAAUCUUCCUAAUGUUAGGUAUGCCAGAUACCCCGUUCCUUCUGGGUUUCUUUCUCUCCCACAGAUGCUGAUCACCACGGGUCUUAGGGCUGUUGGUGGUUUAUGCCCCCUGGUUUGUGAAGAUACCUCGUUUCCUCAUUUUGUUGUGUUAUCACUGGGAGUUUGAUUUGACUCUCUAGUUGAUCUGAUUCUACGUGGGGAUCUAGGAAGAUUUAUAAAUGAUGCUGCCAUUUUCCCAGAAUUCCUGGUGUGUUAGUUACUGAAAUGAUUUUCUGCUAAGCCCCAGGACCACCAACUCAUGAAUUCUUAAAUUGUGACCUGCUGUUUGUCAUGACUACCACUGUUCUUGUAUAAACCUUGAGGGAGGGAUAGGUACAGAAGAUAAGACCCUAUAAAACUGGUUCAGCACAUGUCAGAGGCACAGAUACUCAGUUUUCUUCUGAAAAAUAUUUUAGGCCAGUUUCAGACAUACAAGAGGCAUUCCUCGUCCUGCUUUUCUAAAUAGGUAACCAAGUUGGCCUGUAAAGUCUUAACUAUCACGGUCGAUGGUGAGAAUAUGCUGUCUCCAAACCUUCCUCCCCCAUAGUAUAUGUUUCAGAGCUUCAAGUUUUCCCUAUUGGUGUGUCCCUUACACAAUAACCCUGAAACAUGUUAAUGUUCAGCCAAGGGAACAACCAUUGGUUGUGGAGUUGGAGAUUUGUGGAAAUGUUUUGUUUUGUAUGAUUACUUCUGAUAUAUAUAUUUAUCUGAUGUAAUGUAUCAGCAAAUUAUUAUAGCUGAAAUUUUAUGUUUUGCAGACAUAAACAUUAGCCAUUACAAAUGUCGCAACAGGUUGGUGUAUAUGCACACAUAAUAAAUAAGUAUACUUAUGAACUAUAAUUGCAUAAUUCAAAUGGGAAAAGUCUCAAAAUGUGUAACCAUUAGGUCAAUAUUACUAUUUUAUGUAAAAAUAAAGUAUGCUAAUAAGAGGAAAUGAUAACUUUCCAGUACAUUUCUUAAAUGCAAAUUUAAAUGAAUCCACAUAGAUAACUGUCAAGCUAUUAUCAGUAGAAGUAAGGUCUUUUCAACAGCUAGGCUGGAACAGCUGGAUGUUCAUAUGGCAGAAAUAAAAGCGCACAACCUACCUUACGCCUUACCCAAGAAUUAGAGAUGGAUCAUUGACCCAAAUGUAAGGUAAAAAUUAUAAAGCUUCAAGAAGAAAAUAGGAGAGUGUCUUUAUAGUCUUUUUUUUUUUUUUUAAUUCUUAACGUUUAUUUUUUAUUGAGAGACAGAACAUGAUCAGGGGAGGAGCAGAGAGAGGGGGAGACACAGAAUCUGAAGCAGUAUAGUCUUGAUGUAGACAAAGGUUUGUUACAGAGGAGAUAGAAAGUACAACCAUAAAAGAAAGAAAAAAAAAUGGAAUUAAUCAAAACACAUUGUUGAGAAUGUUUAUAGGGAUGCCUCAGACCGCAAGAAAAUGUUUAUACCACAUAUCCAAGAAAGGGAUUGAAUUCAGAAUACAUUUUGAAACUCAAAAAAAACCUGCAACUCAAUAAUAAGACCACUCAGUUUUUUGUUUUUUUUUUUUUUUUAAAUGGUUAAAGACUUGAAUAGGGAUAAUUUAUAAAAGAAGGUAUACAGUGGUGGGUAAGCCUGUGAAAAGGUGCUCAAUGUCAUUAGUUACCAGGAAAACACAAAGGAUCCUACAGUAAACACCACUACCUACAUACGAGGAUGGCUAAUUGGAAAAGACCCGUAACCCUGAUUGUUGGCAAGGAUGCCUACUCUGGCAAGGAGCUGACGUAUUUUGCUGCUGGCACUGAAAAUGGUAAAACCACAUGAAUAAUUUCACAGUUUCUUAAAAAGUUAAAUAUAUAUAUCCUAGUCUCUAUGAUAGAAAUCAGAAUAGUGGUUCCUUCUACAGAUGGGGUAGAGAUUGAGUGGGAAAAUGCUCGAGAGAACUUUCUACAUUGGUAGAAAUGUUUUGGGUUUGAGUUAUAAGGGAGUGUAUAUAUAUAUUUUUAUAAAAACUAAUUGAACGAUGUGCCUAAAAUAUCUGUUUCCCUGUCUGUAAAUUAUAUGUCAAUUUUUAAAAUCCAACGCAGAUUUAAAAACAUUUUAUACAGUUAGGAAGUGUAAAUCUUGUAAUGCUGUUUUACAACAUUUCAGUUUUGAGGUUUAAUCCAAAUUUUAUUUGCAUUUGCAAUACAUUAGAGUAGAACUUAAAGGUUUCAUAUUUGGUUUCGCUCACUGGUAUCUAGCUGGUUUCACUGUAGUGCAUGAGAUGAGUUCCAAAGUAAAUGGACCAGUUAAUGUGGUAAAUAUAAUUAAAAGCUGUUUGGUUAUGAUGUGAACUGUUUGAAUCACCUCAGUUAUUGCACAUCAAUUUUUUUCUGAUGUUUAGGAUAUCUCAUACGAGUUUGUAGUAAUUAGCCUACUAUUACUUCCCACACAGGGCUAUUCACAUACGGCCCUUUGAUGGAUGUGUAGAUGAACUUCCAAGGGAAGAUCUUGCCAGGUUACUCGACAUUAUCUAUAUUGUUAAUUUUUGAAGUGUCCUUCCAUUUUACUGUUUAUAUUUGGUUAGUUUUUAGCCUCUUUCAACUUGUUGUAUUAUAGUCAGCUUCUAGAAGAUGCUAACUCCUACAGAUACAACCUAGUUUGAAUUCCUCUAGGCCUUAUUUUUCGUAUCACUGUGGCCAGAUUUUUAAGAGACAGUUAAUUCCUGCUGUGUAAGGAGCUUCCAUUUGGGUGAGAUUUGAAUAUAACACGGUAAUUUUUAUGAACCCUUCAUUAAAUCUGAUUCUUCAUACUUUUUCUUUAAAUAUGUUUCUCCUUUCUUGCAUAAUUCUGGCGAUUUCAUAUCUGUACGGUAUAAAAGGUAUAUUAAGGUGUAGAUUACGCUUUGAGAUAUCAUGGUUGGAUUAACUGGAAGUAUACUAAAAUUCCAUUUAUAACACUUUCGGGGAAAGGAGACCAAGAAGACAAUUUAUGUUCUGCUUAUAAUGAAAAACUGUGGUUAUUAUUUCUUUGCUUCUAUUGUGUAAUGUAGGCACAAUAAUGAAUUUUUGCACAAUAGGUGAAUCUGGAUUUUGGGGUAUCAUAGACUGAGAGAGUCCUACAUAAUGGACACAAAUGGAAAACCUAAAAAUAUUUUUCCUUAGAGACUACGAUUUAUUUUAAGUUAUUGUUUAUUUAAAACCAGCUUUGUUGGAGCCAGCGCAUGUUUAAUAAACUACCUCGGCUUAACCUAACCUUAGUAUAAUUUGCUUAGAGGGUUAAGACCUCAGGUUGAUAGAGUAACACUAGAAGAUUCUUUCUCCCUAUUCAUGUGUUAGUAACAGACAUGGAUGGGUGGAUGGGCGAGGAAUCUUUCCUUGGUCGUAGGAGCAUCAUAUUAUUCACUGAGCUUAGGCCAGGUGAAGGUUUUCAUAUUUUGUAUUUUAAGUUGUCUUUUUAAUCUAGGGAAACUUAAAGUUUUGUUGCUUGGGGUAGUUAAAUCCUAUUUUUGUGUUUUCAUUGUCAUCAUUCAGUCAUUCAUUCCUAUUAGUUGAAGGUCUAUGAGCAAGGCAUUGUUUUAGCUCUCAGGGAUAGCAGGGAACAAAACUGAUGAUAUUGCUGCCCUUGUAGGUCUUAGGUCCUCUUGGGGUGCUGGGUAGGGAUGCAGACAAUAAACAGAUAUUACAGUAGUGGCUCUUACACUGGGAACCUCUCGAUGUUGAGACACUUUCCGCAGUAGUUUGCAUGGCGUGUACAUUUUUUUUGAGAGAGAGAGAAGGUCUCAGCAAAGAUUAGGAACCAUUGUUCUAGAGCCUGAUUUAAGGUGUGUUACCUCGUAUUGAUUUCUAUAUAAAUGCAAAGAGGCAGUAGCCUGUAUAAUUUCCCGAGGCAGUUGACUUGGCUGUCUCCUCUUCUGUAUGAUCAGAUUAAAUUUUCUUGGGGGUUGUUUCAUUUUAUGUCCCAGUAAUUAUUUACUGCCAAUUAGAACUCUGACAGUUUCUCUUGUUAGCCUAUCUGACAAAACAUUGGGAGAGCUAGAAAAUGAUUUCCUGCAGUUCCCUCUAUAGUGAUUUCCUCCCUCAAAUGACAGAAUAUGGUAAUAUUGCUAAUAGGUAAGUGGUGGCUGUAUUAUGUGUUAAUUGCCAAGAGUCAGCUACUAAUGUUUUCUUUUGACAGUAAAAGCUUUUCUGAACUCAGAAGAUGAGGAAAGUUAUCUUGAUCCUUGUUUUGAAGAUCAUCAUUGGUGCUGGAGCUUGAGUGUGUAAUUGCACAGAUCCACAGAUCUGGAAUUUAGCUCACACUCAUCUUGGUGACUCUACGUGAAUAACAGAGUGACACAGGGGAGCAUAGCUUUGUGCUUAGCUUUGUGGCUAAGCUUUGGGGCUCCAAGCAGACUUCAGGAAAGGUUUCUUUGUUCUUAAAAACUGGGAAAUUAAUAGAUCUUCUGGCCAGGAGGGGUCCCUAAUUUCUGUGGGACACUGGCCAAAAACAAGGACUCCGUAGGUAUUAAUAUAACUUUGCUUCUUUGUUAGUAGCCUUGACAAAAGCUCUCUCUCUCUCUUUUUUUUUUUUAAUGUGUAUUUAUUUUUCAUAUAAAGGAUCUUUUACUAUUUUGUAUUUUAACACAAGGGGCAGAUGUUUCCAGCUCUGAGCUGGGCUUUGCAACAUGUCCUGCCUUUUGAAUGUUUCUUUCAACUUGGGUAGCUCUCUUUGUUAAAAGGCCAAACCCCUUAGUGAGAUGUUCUGGGAAAGAGGACCCCUUGAUAUUUGAAAGGUGAGAAAUCCAUUUAAGCCAUAUGAUGGCUUCUGACAGCCCCACUGCUGGGUUCUGCUUGUUUUAACGUAAGUAAUAGAUGCUUUUGCUGGUUGUGUUGAGUAAUUGGAUGUGAACUAUAUAAUAUAAGUGACAUUUCAUGGCAGAUGUUGAGGGCACUGUGGAUGGCACCCGAUUUCAGUGUUGGUGUGUUUUGGUUUAAAGGUAGAAACGCUAAUGGGAUUUAAUUAUCAGAGCGUAUAUUCAAAGAUUAGUUCAAAGCAUUUGUAAUACCCUCAGUUGUUAGGUAACUGUUUGGUGUUGUGCAUGGCAGUGAGUGUGUGUGAUUUAUAAUGCCAGUGUGUGCAGUGCAGCGAUAGAAAUGCUAAUAAGGCUGUGUGUAAAGAGGACUGCCAUCAAUACUUUGUCAGCAGCUUGCUGCCAAGUAGGCUUCUUGGAAAGACAUGAUCUGUAAUCAAAGAGGAGUUUGUGGAAAUAGCAAACAUAGACAAAAAAAAAUGUUAUGAUAAAAAAUAGUGCUCAUUGCUUUUUUUCAGGGGAGGUUUCAGUUACCUCUUAUUAACGACAUCCUUCUUCCCUGUUUAUGUGUAUAUACAGCCUCGGUGGUUUAUCACAGGAUGAAUAAGAGUUGGUAGUUCUCCGUUUCAUUUCAGGGCUGGUUUUAUAACCAGCAUUGAGGGGAGCAUUGAGUGGAACAUCUCAUAUUCAAUUGGAGACUCUUUACAUUUUAUAUUUAAAGGCUCCCUGUCUCUUUAAAUUCAGCAACAAUGUGACCUUUUUUGAGGCGAGGCGCCCAGUGUAAGUUUGGUAUGGUAUGCAUGGAGGGCAGAGGAGUCUUCUACAAGUAGUUGAGAACACGUAUGACUGCUUUAUAUUUAUUUGCCUUAACAUUCUUAGAAUUCUUAGGUGUAAAAGAUUGGGCCCCUGACUAUUGGCAUGAACAGCUGUAAUUAACUAGGCUUAUUCCUGUUCAUUUAAUUCUCUAGCAGUCUGGUGGGUGCAUAUUCCAGCCCCAUUGUCUGUCAUCCAGGGAAGGCUAGCAACAUGAAAAAGAGAGCCCCAGAAACAUGCCAGGGUGGAUAGAGGGGAGAGAGGGUGCGGGCAUGGGGAAAGGAAGAGAGAAAGGCCUGGAACAUAAACAAAAUAACCUAUGACUUAAGAAAACAACAACAAGUUGUGUCUGAAUAGGUAGUACGUUCACAUGAUUCAGAAAUAAAAAGGUAUUUAAAGGUGUCCUGAAAAGUCUGUCUCCUGUCCUUGGGCUUUUAUUUGCCCAAGUUCUUUUUCUUCACUCCUCACCCCAUGCAGAUAAUCAUUGUUAUUAUAUUCCAUAUGUAUUCUUCCCAGGGGCCUCUGUGCAUGUGUAAGCAAAUAUAAUAGCUAUCAAAUUUUGCACACUGUUCUGUAGCUUGCUCUUAAGAAUCUAUGUUGAAGAUCUUAAGAAUGUGUGUUGGAGAUCUUUCCAUAUCACUACAUAGAAAAUAUUCUCCCUUCCCUGCUCCCUUUGUAUAUAUAUAAAUGUAUGAUACUCCAUUGUGUGGAUGUUUCAUAAUUUACUUCGCUGGUCCCUUUAAUGAGGAUUAGUGGACAUUAUUUAUGUUAAAUAAACUUGGUUGUUCAUGUUAUUUUGUAUAUAUGCAAGUUUAUGUUUAAAUUACAAUCAGUAGUAUUUCUGGGGAAACAGGGGAAUAUGUAAUUUUGAUACGUAUUGCUCAGUUGCCCUCCUUAAGGGUUGUACCGGUAUGUGUAUUUGUAUAAGAAGUACAUGAGAAUCUGUUUCCCCACAGUCUUGUCAGCAGAGUGUCAUCAACUUAGAUAUUUGCCAAAUUGAGCAAUAUAUUCUCAGUGUAACUUUAAUUUGUAUUUUUCUUUGUCCUGUUAUCUUGGAAUUUAUCUUGGUGUAAGGUGUAAGGUACGGAUGCAACUUAACUUUUUUCCAGAUGACAUCCCACUUACCUCAGUAAGAUUAUUAAUUAGCUCAUCUUUCUCUGCUAUUUUGAAAUGCCAUCUUUGUCAUAGACUGAGUUCCUGAAAGUAAUCCGUAACUGCCUGACCAUGGCAUAUGCGUUAUUCUUUACAGUUGCAUAUGUCCUUUCAUUCUUACAUAGCACACCCAGCUUGAAGUCUAAUGAUUUGUCAGAAUGUUUGAAGUGACUGUGAUUAUGUACCUUUAAAUUGGAACUAAAAUUUGUUUCCUCAAGCUUUUAUCUGACCAUCCCCAAUCCUACAGAAAAGUUGCAAGUACAGAACCCCCCCGCCUUUGUUCUUGAGUCAUUUGAGAAUGUCAUCAAAUUAUGCCCCUACGAACCCCUGAUACUUGAGGGUGUAUUUCUUGCAAAGAAGGAUGUUUCGUUAUGUAACCCACGAUUCAACAAUCAGAUGUCAAAAUUAGCAUUGAUAUAUUGUUACUCAAACCCUAUCCAUGUUUAGGUAGUUGUUCAUUUUGUGUUAUAUUUAGUUGUCAUGUUUCUUGACUUGACCUUUUUCAAGAUUUACAGGCUGUUUAUUUUGCAGAAUGUCCCUCAGUUUGCAUUUGUAUGGUAUUCCAUUGUUACUAGAUUUAGGUUAGGGACUAUCUCAUUGCAGGUAUUAUUUGCUUUCUGUUUGUUGCAUUAUUAGUGUUUACUUUGAUCACUUGAUUAAAAUUGAUUAAGGGCCCCUCUACUGUAAAGUUAGUUUUUUAGCCUUUGUAAUUAGUAUUUUGUGGAAGGGUGCUUUUGUGACUAUGAAAAUAUCCUGUUCCUCAGUAAUUGUUCAUUUUAUUCAUUUAUAUAGAUCAGCAUGAGUGUGUGGUUUCCGGUUUCAUUUGGUCGGUUACAGUCCAUUAUUAUCAUUAUAUAUUUUGAAAUUGUUUCAGAUUUAGCCAGUGGGAGCCUUUUUUAAAAGUCUACUUAUUAUAUGUCUUUCACAUGUCCCUAUCAUUCUUUGAGCACUUUCUUACUUUCUGGCAUAACAAAUUGUUCCAGACUCCUCCUCUAGAGGCAGCCGUUGCGACCAAUUUCUAGUAUCUUUCCCGAAAUGUUCUACAUUUACGUGUGUGUUUGUGUGUACGUCUUAGUUUUUGUGAAUUCGAUUUUAAUUUUUUUAAUGUCAAGGUUCCCAUUUAAGUCUAAUAUAUAUACAUGAGAGAAUAAAAAUUACAAUUGUACAGUUCAGUGAAUUAUACAUAGUAAUAUAUGUAUAGUAACUGGUACUCAUAUCAAGAGAUAAAAUACUGGAGUGCCUGGAUGGCUCAGUUGGUUAAGUGUCUGACUCUUGAUUUCAGCUCAGGUCACCAUCUCACAGUUCAUGGGUUCAAGCCCCGCAUUUGGGCUCUGUGGUGACAGUGUUGUAACCUGCUUGGGAUUCUCUCUCUCUCUCUCUCUCUCUCUCUGCCCCACUCCUGCUCUUUCGCUCUCUCUCUCUGUCUCAAAAAUAAAGAUUUGAAAACACAAAUUAAAAAAAAAAAAUGCCAUAAGCACUUCCAGAAACCACCCUCAUGCCCUCUCCCAGACACUAAACCUCAUGAUAGCCACUGCUGUGAGCCUUAACACCAUAGAUUAGUUCCACCUGCCUUUGAACUUCAUAUUUGUAUACAGAGGGUAUUAUGUGAUACGUAUUUAUCUGUGUCUAGUUUCUUUGGCCCAGCAUAUUGCUUGUGAAAUGCAUCCAUGUUUUCAUAUGUUUCAGUAGUUUAUUUUCAGUGCUAUGUAAUGCAUUGUAUAAAUAUACUGCAGUUGAACCUAAACUGUUAAUGAAUAUUUGGACAAUUAGAUUUUAACACAUCUCCUUCAGUGAUUGAGCAAAUAAGUAGAUCAGAAAUCCACUAGGAAUAUAGAAGAUUGAAUAAUACAAUUUAAAAAUAUGAGCUAAUCAUCAUAUAUAGAACACUAUACCCAGUGACUGAAGAAUGCACAUUCUUUUCAGGUGCACAUGGGAAUUUUAUCAGAAAUGAUGGUGUUAGAUCUUAAAGCAGAUCUUAAUGCAUUUCAGAGGAUUGAAAUCAUAGAAGACAUGUUCUUUGACCACAGUAAGAUUAACCUGGGAUUCAAAACCAAAGUGAUUACCUGUAAGAUCCACAAAUAUAUGGAAUAUAGUGAUACAUUUCUAAGGCUCAAAUAAGAAAUCACAGUGGAAAUUAGAAAAUAUUUUGCUUGAACAGUUAUUGAAAUUAUGACCUACCACAAUUAUAGCAUAUAGCUAAAGCUUUACAUAUGUAUAGGAAAGUAAGAAAGACCGAAUAAAAUCAAUGGUCUCUAAGUAUCUAGAUUAAGAAAUUUUAAAAGAAUUUAAGAUUAAACCCAAGGAAGAGAUUAAUGAAGAUAUAUUUGCAAAUUACUGAAUUAAUAAAGAAAUAUGCAUUCAAGGAUAAUCAGUAUCAAAAGUUGCUCCUUUGAAAUGACUAAUAAAACUGUUAAAUUCCUGUAAAGAAGAUCAAGGAAAAUGACAGCAAGUUACCAACAUGAAGAAUAAAAUUGGGACAACACUACAGAUCCUAUAGGCAUUAAUGAGAUAUCAGAAGGAUAUUAUGAAUAGCACUAUGCUAGUAAGUUUGAACACUUAGCUGUGGUGCUGAACAUUCAGAGUAAUUUAGAUAAUUCGAGUUGAAAAGUUUCAGGAGCACCUGGCUUGCUCAGUUGGUAGAGAGUAUGUGACUAUUGACCUUGGGGUCCUGAGUUUCAUCCCCACCUUGGGGGUGACGUUUACUUUUAAGAAUUUCGUGUGCCUUAGACAGCUUGCACAAACACGAAAAGGAGUUAUCUAUAUCAGCAGGAAAAUUUAUGAACAAAUUCUCAUGUUGUACAUACAGGUAAUAUGUAUCAUUUAAAACGAAUGAACUGGGGCAUGGGUGACUGAUGCAAGCUUAAUGCUGAGUAAACAGAUUGCAGAGGAAAAUGAGUUGGGUACAUAAGUCUAUUAUUUUUAUACCUUUCUGCCUGUGAAGUGUUUCAUAAUAAAUUCUUUCACAGAAAAAUAAUAAGAUAGAAGAGCCUUUGGGAGUUUUUGUGAACAGAGCUUAGCUGUAGCUGAGAGACAGAGGCAUGCACACUUAGGGUUCUGUGUUGUUCCUGGGGCUGGAGAAAGUAUAUGUAUUUGUCAAGGUGAUUUAGAUUCUUCUCUGUCUUUAUGAAACAGUCAAGCGACAGGACACGUUUUCUUGCCAUCCUCAGGUGCCUUUGAGAAGGCUGCUAGUUUUAAGGAAAAUAAUACCCAAGGAGACUAAGCAUAAUAUUCAAACAUUACUUGCCUGCAGGUAUAUGGUUACUGAGUGGCAGAUUUCACUGCUUUAUGGCCUUGUUUGAAACACUUAAGGAUUCUUUGGCCUAGUUUUGAGUGGUGGAGGGGUUGGCUAAGUUACUAAGUGAACAGUACUAAGUUACUAAGUACUUAGUAAGGUAUAUGGUUACUAAGUGGCAGGUUUCACUGCUUAUGGCCUUGUUUGAAGCACUUGAGGAUUCUUUGGCCUUUGGCCUAGGUUUGAGUGGUGGAGGGGUUGGCGGUGAGGCCCUCCAGCGAAUGCACUGUAAGCUCUCUCGGGUCCGGGACUUUGUCUGGUCCUCUCUCGUGAAUCCUCAGUGUCUGUCUCUUCAACAAGGUCUGCUACUUCAUAGAAACUCGUUAAACGUCGUUCCAUGAUUUGAGGAAAGUAUACUGUGAAAUUAAUUUGAAAUUAUUAUUUUCAUUUAUUUUUGUAACUGUUACUACAACUGUGUUAUCUAUAUCCUGGAAAUUUUAGGAGAUCAGCUCAGAGUCUCAGCCCAGAAGUUUUAUCUAGCACAUUAUUUGAUUUUAGAGAGCGUGGGAUUGUUGUCUGUAGUGGUCUUUAAUUAGCAGCAGCUAGGAAGGUGUCCGCUGACUCCCGAGCUGUUCUCACAUUCGUUCCUCUGUGAGUUAAAAUGGAGGAAGGAAUUUCGGUUAGGAUGUUUCUCUUCUAGCAUUCACCGGCACAGAAGCUUUUUCAGCAUAGCCGAUUCAUCAAUUCUUAAAGAAGGUACUCUUCUUGUGGUAAUGGAAACAUUCCCUAUCUUGAUUGUUGUGGUGGUUACACAACACUUGUCAAACAAACUGAAACGGUAAAUACGUUAAUUUUAUUGUGUGUAAAUCAGGCCUCAGUAAAGCUAAUUUAGAAAAAACGAUGAACCAAAAACAAAACAGUAAAGCAAAACCCAAAAAAGAUGGAGAAUGAAAGAUUUUAAAGAAAAAGGUCUUAGUUCAAAAGAUAUUCACAUUUAUGUACGUUGCAUUGGUGCUUGAACACGAUGGGGAAUCUUUUUCAAAGAAAUUAACCUAUUUUAAAAUGAACCGUGACUCUCUGGUCUGUGUUCUUUGAUUUUUUUUCCCCCUCUUUCUUGUUUUAUUUAUUUUUUUUGAGCAGCAUUUCCCCAGCUCAGCUCACACUUGACUGAAUACACUGAUCGAUUAUCUGGGGAUUAACUAAGCUUUCUCAUUUCCUGCUUUCCAUUUCUCGUCUCCAGCAGGCCAGUGGGCCUUUGUUGUCUGGCAUGUGGACUGAGAUAAGCUAUCAGGGCAUGUUUGUAUUAGAAAAAUGGUUGUAGAUGGAACAGUUAUAAAUAGACUAACAGGUAUUAAAGGUUACAGUCUUUGUUUUGGUUUAAGUCAAAAAGGGGGAAGAAUAAAUAAGAUAUUUAAGACAAGACAGACUAGUUCACAUAAAAUGAGAUAGAAAAACAAAUUCUCAAGGCUCCUACUGAACUUUCCUUUUUUUUUUUUAACCGAACUAUUUGCAUUUGUUUAUUGGCAAGUUGAAAAUGUUUGCCAGCUAUAAUUGGGUUCCUAUUAUUAAUAUAGCAGGCUGACUUUAUUUACAUCACUAAUGAUUUCUAAGCCUAUAUUAGUACUCCUUGAAAGUACUAAUAAUUAAUUCUAAAACUCUUUGUGUUGCUAAAAGGUAUUUUAUUUUACUGUGUUACCAGCUCUGUAGUUUUGCACUUGAGUGCAGAAAGCAGUGGUACAAAAAGAUUACCUAGAGAGAGAGGACUACUGCUGGAUUCACAUAAAAUAAGUAUGUCUGUCCGUCUUUAUAAAAGCUAGUGCUUCGAUAUAGUGUUGUAAGCUAAAGUCUUUUACUUUCCUUUUCUUAAAAGUUCCUGUUGUUUCCUGUUGCUAGUUUUCCGAGGAAGCAGUACUGCUUGAAAUGGCCACACUUGCCUAGACUCGCAGAUUGCCACAGGAAGUCAUCCAGCCUUUAUCUUCUGCGUGCAUGCUUCCAGCUCUUAUAGGUGCACCAUUUUUUCCAAGUACACUUUUUGUUUUAUUUUCUUUUUUUAGUGUAGAUCUAUAUAUUCUUGUUUGAAUCAAGCUUUAAAUAUUUCUCGACAGAAUGAGUUCAAAUUUUAGAAAGAAAAACAGUUUUAACUAAAACGAGAGGCUUCUUAUCUAGAUUUCCUUUCCUUUAACAAGAGUUUAGCUUCUGCCCACUAGCGGAAAGUCGGAUCGUAUAAAUAACAGUAUAGGCUUCUAUUUUUUAAUAGCAUCUUACUCCUAAAUGAAUGUGUGCUUUCACAUUUCCAGGCAUGGUUCUGUUUGGGAAGCAUGCUCGCUUACACGGUGUGAGCGGGCAGGGUCCAAGGGGGAGGACCUCUGGGACCGUUCCUGUAGCACGUUCCCUUCGUCCCAUAGGGCAACUGUUCUCAGGUCUGGCCCAUGGGUAUGCACACUGUUUUCAGAAUUACGCUAAGACAUCAUUUGCCUUUUUCAUUCUCCUUUCACGAGUGUACAGUGGAGUUUUACGAGGGUUAAAUGACGUGUAAUAACUCAAUAGGUUGAUGGUAGCAUCUGAUCUGAAGAGUCUGUUUCCUUAAGCCAUACAUAAGAGAUCUGUUGAAAUGUAAGUCUUACUUGCUUCCUAAAGUUUUUGUUUAAGAUUUUUAGUUGGUUGGCCCAGUCGGUUGAGCUGGUGUCUGACUCUGAUUUUAGCUCAGGUCAUGAUCUCACAGUUUGUGGGAUCGAGCCCUGUGUUGGGCUCCAUGCUGAUAGUGUGAAUGAAGUGUGUUUGGGAUUUUCUCUCUCUCUCUCUCUCUGUCUCCCUCUCCCCUCUCCCCUCUCCCCUCUCCCCUCUCCGUAUGUCCCUCCUCCACUCACUCUGUUUUGUCUCUCUCAAAAUAAAUAAACUUAAUAAAAAAUAAAAGUUUUUGUUUGUUAUAAUUAUUUAUGUUAGUGUUAAUAAUGUUAUUAUUACUGCUAAAAGAAUUAGUAAAAAAUACCUCAAAAAUUUUUAUUUCUAUUUUCCAAUAUAGUAAGUACUGAUAAGACAUAGUCCACAUAAGUAAAAGUUCUUUGAACUUCUCAAUAAUUUUAAAGAGAGUAGGGAAUCCUGAGUCUAACAAGUUUGAGAACCACUUUUAUAAAGCAUUUAUCGACUCAGAUCUUUUCAAGAUAUUUCAGCAUCACUUUUUUUUUAGACAGUUUCUUUAAAGUUUAUUUAUUUAUUUUGAGAGAGAGAGAGAGCGAGUGCUUGCAAGCAGGGGAGGGGCAGAGAGAGAAUCUCAAGCAGGCUCUGCACUGUUAGCACAGAGCCCAAUGUGGGGCUUGAUCUCAAAAAAAGGGGGGAUCAUGACCUGAACCAAAAUCAAGCGUUGGACACUUACCUGACUGGGCCACCCAGGCGCCCCUCAGCAUCAGCAUCAGUUUUAAUAGCAAAGUCUGUGUGAUGUGUCUUUAAUCGUAAGUUAGUAGUUUUUAUUUUAAGAAAUAAUGUGAUCGGGGCGCCUGGGUGGCUCAGUCAGUCGGUUGAGCGUCCGACUUCGGCUCAGGUCAUGAUCUCACGGUCCAUGAGUUUGAGCCCCUCACCGGGCUCUGUGCUGACAGCUCAGAACCUGGAGCCUGCUUCAGAUUCUGUGUCUCCCUCUCUCUCUGCCCCUCCCCCAUUCAUGCUCUGUUUCUCUCUGUCUCAAAAAUAAAUAAACAUUAAAAAAAAAAAUUUAGAAAAAAAAAAAAAGAAAGAAUGUGAUCAUUUCAGUUUCAUUUGUGAAACUUCUAGAGAAUUUUGGAAGCCUGUAGCCCAGGCUUUUCCCCUUCUUUCUUUAACUCCUUUUUCACCACUACACCAUCUGACCCUGUUGCUGGCUUGUGGUACAGCCCCCUGACUUUUCUAGCGAGGUCACCUAGAAGUGAGUAAAAUCCCUGGAGGAUGCAGAAUCGACGAGGCUGUUGCCACCAUCACCAGGCACCGACCAGAGUACUGCAAAGAUGUCCAACUUUGCACUAUUUGAGCAUGAGUUUUUCAAAAAGGAAAUUCACUGGACUGUUUAAUUCCAUUCAGUAUGGAUUAAUGGCAGUUUGGCAAUUUCUUGUGGUGCGGCCUGUUUUCCCUCCCUUAUGGGGGAAAUAUUUGGAUCCAGAUAGAAAAUUUGUGGUUGUAAGUUUAUUUGAUAUAACCAUAGCUGCUGGGAAAAGAGUGCUGGCUUUUAGGAAGGAAUUUAUUUUGGGUCUGGACAGCAAAACAUUGGGGAUCCGAGUACAGAGUCCUGAUUUAUCUGUGGUAUUUCAUCUUCGAAACUUCGCCUGUCAACCCAAACUUGAGACCUUUUCAGUCCUGAAUCUGACACUUAGUGUUUUUGUCAGGAUAAUGUAUGGGAUACAUGCAGUAAAUUACAGGAAUGCCCUUUAGCUUGGUGUGUCUGUGCUGAUGUGUGAAGUCUGCCUUUAAGUAUAGCUUAUUCAUGUAUAUGUGACAGGAACUUGUUAUUUAGGUUAAGAGUUUAGCUGGUGACCCCGCCUCCUGUCUUAGGAGUUUUCCCAAGGCUGCACUUGUGCUCAGUUUUGGUCUCUCCAUGGCUCAUAAAGGAAUUUGCUGUCUGAACUUGUUACUUUUCCUGCAUCGUGUGAUCCUCAGCAGAAAAUGCCUUAAUAAGCUCGGAUUUUAUAGUUGGUGGUUGAGAAGAUUUCAUUUUUGUGUACGUUUUGGUCCUGCCAAAAUACUGACUGACUUUUGUCCACAUUGAACUGUAAAAAUAACCAAAUGACAGCAAUUUGUUUAAUAAACAAGGUAUCAUCAAGAAACAGUGAUUUUUGAAAAUGACUUGUGAUCAGCAGAGCCUGGGUUUCAGCACAUUUUUAGCUGCAUCAUCUUUCUGGACGUUUGUAUGUAACCAGGUAUUUGCACAGCUUGGUUGUAAACACUGUGUCUGUGCUCCCAGGUUCCACCUUCUUGCUUCACCUGAUUCAUCUGAUCGAAGGUGACUUCAGUCCUCUUACAGGAUCCACAUGCUGAUGCAAUCUCUUGAAAACAGUGUUUCGAAUUGAGUGUCACGGGUUUGGAAAAUAUGCUUGUAACCUUGAUUCUGGUGCCUGCAGCCAGUUAGCACCUUAGUCCAAUGGAUAUGCUUGUUUCUCGGUUCCACUUAUCGGUGCAUUUAUCCUUAAAGAAAGAAUUCAUUAUGCUAGUUUUGAGUAGACCCCUGAUGGUUCCAAGUUCUGUCCAUUUGGAAAUGCCAAUAAAUGAUAAGUAGCCACUUGUAUUCGGGUUCUCCAGAGAAACAGAACCAAUAGGAGAGAUACGUAGAGAGUACAUGUCCCAUGGGAAUUGUCUCACGAGAUUAUGGAGACAGAGAAGUCCCAUAAUUUGCUCUCUGCAAGAUGGCGAGCUAGGAAAGCAGGUGGCCGGUCGACUUUGUCCAGGUCCACGGGCCUGGUAACAGUGGAGCUAGUGGUGUAACUCCCUCCUUUGAGGCUGAAGGCCUGAGAACCAGGGGCCACUGGUAUAAGUCCUGGAAUUCGAAGGCCUAAGAUCCAGGAGCUCUGAUGUCUGAAGGGAGGAAAAGAUGUAUGUCCCAGCUCAGGAAAAGAGAGUUCUGUGUUUCACCGUCGCCUUUUUGUUCCAUUUCGCCCCAAAGAGAUUGGGUAAAGCCUGCCCACCUGGGGGAAGUCAGAUCUGUUUACUCAGCCUACUGGAUAAUCUCUUCUAGAAACAACCUCAUGGAUAUACAGAGAUGUUUUACCAGCUAUUUGGGCAUCCCUUAGCGCAGUCCAGUUGACACACAAAAUUUUAACCAGGACUCCGCUAAACAGGACUAUGAAACUCAAGUGGCAUGGCUACCAGAAGGGACAUGUGCUCAGUCCUUAAGGGUGGAGGAUGUGGAACGCGACUCCAGGUUUGGGUCCUUCAGCCUCAGCCCACCUGAGCACUUAAAUACAUCGGAGGGUGGAUACGUUGUUUACUCAAGGGCAAUAAGAUGUUUACUUGCCCUUAGGCCACUCUCUCAAAAAAAGGAAACACAGUGUUUAAUGUCUUACUACAUUUGGGAGAUGUGUGUAUGACAGUCUGAAGAGGAGAUACUCAGAGCUCUUUCUUCUCUUUUGAGAACAAGACUCUGGAGUCUGUGUUUUCGCUUUCUCGCCUGGUACCCAUGGCAGAGCAGAACUCUGAGACGGCUGGACCUUGAUGGCCAAGCCUUCCUUGGUGGCCCUUAUUACGUUUUUCUAUGACUCUUUCUUUCAUUGCAUUUUGAGCUGUGAUGGCUAUAAGCCAUUUUGAUAGAAGGAUAGAAAAUGUUACCUCCCUAGUGCCUCAUGGUAGCAGAGCAGUACCUUGAAAUAUUACAAGAUCUUUCCUACAUGAUUUCAUAUUGAUUGAUCUCAGUUCCGGUGUUUAUCUACAAAGUUGAUGUGAUCCUCUGAUAUGGAAAACUUAUCUUUAGAUUGGAUUCUUCUGUGCGUAUACCUGGAUUGAUCUUUGGCCUUGGAGAAGAAUAGUAAGCUCUGACCGUGCUGUCCCUUCUUCCCUCCCUCAGAGUCAGGAAUGAUUCGAGCCUGGUAAGACUGUGUCCCCAAGGUCUUUUGAGGGUACUGUGUCCAACAGGCAACUCCUUGUGGGUGGAGGUGGACUCGGCAGGAUGUAGAAGCCACUUUAAACUGACCGUGUGGCAGGCUGGAAGGCAGGCCAUUUUGUCUGGCGGACCAUGGCCCCUCACGCUGCAGGCCUUGUGUCCUCACACCAGUUGUUUUUGCAGAUAUAUCUGAAUUAUACAGUAAACCUGUGGUAUUCCUAUCAUUCUUACCCUUACUAUCACCAUGUUGUGGAAAUGCGUGAAAAGUUUCUUUAAAAGGUAUUUUCUUAAGCUAUCUAGUAUACAAAUAUUAGCCAUUGCUACUUCCAAGAUUUGUGGAAAAUCCUGAUUGGACAUUUUGGCUUUAGAAAACAAGAAUUUUGGUUUGAUUUCAUCUGACUCUGAAUCUAGAUCUUUCAUUACUUGAAAUUCAAGCUCUCAAGAACAAAGCAGUUAAAAAUUUGAAGGAAAUUCCCCAAUUAUUAUCUCUAGCGAAGUAUUUUGACUUUUCGAAGUUGUUUAUUUGAUGGUAUUAAUCUUUAUAUCUUGGUUCAUUGUCUUUGGCCUCUGUCACAUGGCCGAUCGUGGUGGAGGGACUAGCAGGGCUUGUUUGGAGGGCUUUGGGAGCCCUGGCGGUAUCUGCUGGGAGCUUGUGAGGGACUGAUGGGGCAGAGUUCUUUCCUGUGUAAUGCAGGUGAGUUUAAAAUUGUUGUUCCCAUCUUGGGUUGGGGGCCUGCUCAUAUUGUAUACAAGAUUCCUCACACCCGUCCUGUUGGUCAUUUAUGAACUCCGACCACUCCCUCCACCCCCACCCCCACUCCUUUUAUUUUUUCAUAUUGUGUUAAAAUGUUUUUUUCCAGUGAUACCACGACUGGCCCUAGGAAAGACUCAGACUGGCUGUUUAAUCAAUGAAAGUACUGCAUUAAUAACCAUGAAAGAUCUCUAGGAAUGGAAAUUUACUUCUGGGCCUUGGAUCUUGCGUUUAUAUGAGAUGGUCGAAUUGUGUGCUGCCCAUAAAAUGAACCAGUGUCCCUUCAACAGCAGCCUCCUGUUCGCCUUCCCUUCCCCCUAGACCCCCCCCCCCCCCCCUUUGCCAGCCGUCUCAUUCUGAGUGUUUUACUUCAGUUCUGACUUUGUAGUUCAUUAACUCUCAGUCCGUUGUCUGACAUUCGUAGCUCUAGAAAGGCCCCUGUUCUGCUCCCAAACACCCACUAGGCUGUUGGUCUUUUUUCCAAACCCAGGUGGGGAUGGGUUUUGUCCUCAAUUAAACUAUUUCCUUAAAUUUACAUACAUCCGUCCCUUCAGAGAAAUCCAGGCCAGUGAUGUGGAAGAAUCCAUAAUUUAACCCAGAAUCAGCUACUCUUCUUGUGCGCACAGUCCCUCCUUGAAACCUCACUGUGAGCAUGUUGGGUGCGCUGCUCCUGGGUGGUAUUUUUUCCUUAGGGCUGGUACUUCCUAUAACCUGCGGUCAGGCAGGCAAAUCUCGCUCUAAAGAUAAAAUGGUGGGAAAGAAUUUACUUCCCAGUGAGCUCUUCUCUGUAUUCAGAAAUACAUCCCAGGGUGCCUUCACAGGGGCACCAAAAUCUCCCCACUUCCCUCUUUACUCAGCAUUCUGUUUAAAAUGUGUCAUUUAUAACCACUUUGACCUUUGUGGAAUUGUACAAUUAUAUCACUAGUUGGUAAUGAGGCCUAUUUGUUAGAAAUACUUGAUGUGCUUCUCAGAUUGUUGCAAAAGUAGAGAUUCUUCCCCCCUAAUUUGCCACAUGAUUUAUUUUUGUAUUGCUAUUACUAGCUUAAUUUUGAAUCUGAGAAAAACAACAUAUAUAAGUGACCUCUUAUAGCUUGACUCCUAUCUUCAUCUGUAAAACAGUGGUAGUAACGCCCAACGUUUAUUAUUUUUUAUUUUUUCCAAGUUUAUUUUUGAGAGAGAGUGUCAGCACAGAGCCUGACGCAGGGCUCAGUCUCACAAACCGUGAGAUCGUGACCUGAGCGGAAGCCAAGAGUCGGAUACUUCGCCCAUGGAGCUCCCUGGGAGCCACCCGCCCAACAUUUAUUGAGAGCCAGUCCUGCUGCUCUUGCCCGUUUGUUUGCUCCUCACAGCCGGGUGCGGUACCGGUGGUGGAGUUUCCCAUCGUGUCCCGUGUCCCGUGCCACAGAAUUGAGGCUUGGAGAGGUCAUUUGCCCAAGUAAGUUGCGAGCCCUGAUUCAGACCUCGGUGAUUUGGGCUAAAUCAGACGAUCUCUAAGUUGACUUUUGCUUUUAGUUUUCUGUGAUUCUGAGCAGAAGUCUUUUUCUAGUGAACGGUGGGAAGAACAUGCAGAUUUCCCAUGGUUAAUGUUUGAGCCGCACCUGUGUGUGUGAGUGGCAUUGGGAGCACUGACUGGUCGAAGGGGUGCGCUCCGUUCCCUUUUGCUGUUCCUCAGUGCUCAGUCACUUCUGGAGAAGAUGGCAUUUUAAUUUGUAAAAACCUCUUCAGUAGGGUACUGUUAGCGGAUGCCAUUAUGUUGAUGUCGAGAAGACAGAAGGGACUCUCCCAGUGUGGCUUAUUUAUCUACUGGUUUUGUCCGGGGACAAAACCUAGAUGUAAGUGUAUAAAAUGGAAUGCGACCCUAGAAAUCAUCUCAUUCCCUCCCCUCACUUGUCAGAUGCCAGGUGACUCACUAAGGUUGCCCCCAGCUGACUAAGUGAUUGCAGACAGGACUAGAAGGCUCGAUUACUUCAUUUUAGUCUAGUACCCUCUGAAACGACAUACUGCUUCCCUCUGGAUGUUUGAUCGUUAACUUCCCGGCCUAUUUAGGACGAUUAUGUCUAUUAGAGCUACUUAUAUUUGUUCAGAACUUUUGUUAACUGUGAAUCUACCUUUUGUUGUGUUGUAUCCAAAAUUAAGAUUCGGAGGCCUUUUUUUUUUUUUGACACAAUGCUGCCACUCCCUGGUUAUUAGAUAGUACUGCAUUAUGAAAUCCAGCAGGGUUUCGGCUGCCUUUGUAAGGUCUCUUAUUAGGAGUCGUAAAUCUAGGCACAAAUAUACCAGAGCAGUAAGACAGACAGACAGACAGAGAGAGAGAGAGAGAGAGAGAGAGAGAGAGAGAGAGUGUGUGUGUGUGUGUGUGUGUGUGUGUGUGUGUGUGUAUGUAUGUGUGUGCGCGCGUGUGGCCAUUAAGUGUGCCAGGGUCAGAAUUUAAUAUAGAUAUUAUACCUCGAAAGGUCCCCAGAAUCACUGGCUUGGUGUUCUGAAAAAUAGACAUUGUAUGAUUGCCAGUUCUGGUACCUUUGAAAGCUUACUUCGGUUGCCCUUCUGGUUUUCAGACAUCUCAGAUGUGUUAAAGAAAUGCGUAGAAGCAUAGAUUUCAGAACAUAGUUGCUCAGACUGCCGGUAGAUCUGAAUUCCUUUGAGCCCUGUUAAGUAGUUCAUCACUGUGAGCACUGAGGCAUCCCUUAGUAGCUCAAGGACUGGAGAGCACUGUCAUCUGGUGAAGGAAACCACAUUCUGGUGAAGAAAUAGCUCCUACGGUUCUCAGCAGAGUUCUUGAAAUCUUUCUGUGAAGCUCUGGUGAGCAUCAGCUACCAACAGAAACCAUUGCUCUCUUGAGCGCCUACUCAGUUCCAGUGCGUUUCCGUUCCUCUCAUUCUUUCGAUAGUCCGUUGGGUAGGUUUCAGUGUUCCCAUUUUGCAGAAAAGGGGAGACUCAGAAUAUGAUUAACACGCCCAGAGUCAUAUAGCUAGGAACUGGUGGAGAUGGAGUUUGAACCCAAUGGUGACAGGCCUCACUGUGUUCGUAUUUACAUUCCAUGUUCCCCACUGGUAGUGCUUAAACCGGGGUUGUUUUGGUCAUCGUUCCAGUUUAGCUUUCCAUAAAAAGGACACUGUUAGACCAUUGGUUUUCCACUGGGGGGUAAUAUUGUCCCCUCAGGGGACAUUUGGCAACGUGUGGAGAUAUUUUUUUGCUCAUUACGAUGAGGGGGAGGGGUGCCACUGGCAUUUAGUGUUUGGAGGCCAGGGGUGCCGCUCAAUAUCCGGCAGUGUGCAGGACAGGCACCCACGCCAGACUUCCCUGGACCAAAUGUCAGGAAUGCUGAGGGUGAGAACCCCUGCAUUAGGCAGUACAUUACCCCGAGUUUAUCCUUGAGUACCUGCAGACAGGCUCCACCCCUCCCCUGCUUCGUCUCUUUCUGUGAAGAUGCCCUCAUCCUGGCCCUGCUGUUUAUGGCUGGGCCCCGGGAGGAAACUGGUCUCCUGGCCGCUCUCUCGAGACCUGGUGUGUUGUCCCUCACUGCCUGUGUGCUUGGUCAGCAAGGCAGAUAGAGGACCUCGCUUGUCCAGAGAGAAACCCACUUAAAGGCCACGUUGAAGUCAGAAUCCGAGUUCCCUCCGGACCAUGCAGGAGGUUCUCCUGUGCUGCGCGCAUGUGGGCCGUGGGGGUGCAUCCUGCACUUGUUCUUUCUCGUCUCUGGCUUUGUGUCUUCCCCAGAUCUCCUCCUUUGCCUGGAAAGAAUGCAUUGAGGUCUUCCCCACUUUUCCCCCAGGUCAGACGUUACCUCCUCCACAGUCCUCCGCAGGGAGUAAUUGCUCUUGAGGAUGAACUCGUGUAUGUAACAUUUACUCUUUUUGUGUAACAUACUGAUUCGUCCUCAUUUUCCCACCUUUCGUAUAAACAGUAUAGAAUAUAAAAGUGAAAAAUGGAUAAAAACUGAACAGUACCCAUUAUGUAGGGUUAUUCUUUCUAUACAGUCUCUUUUUUUCAAAUCAGUAAUGAUGCCCUAUUUUUGUGGGCCUAUUGGACACAGUUAAUUAUACAGUACGGAUCUUGGUGUUUAUGAUACUUACUUUGGAAUAGUGCUUCUUCGCAUUCAAGUUCAUCAAGACUUUGACAGUGCUUUUCUUUCUGGUCAUUUAAAUAGCUUUAGUAUUUUUCAGUAAAGGUUUUUUGUUGUUGUUGUUGUUGUUGUUGUUGUUGUUGUUGUUUUGCCUUUCUGGCCAUUUAGUGAAGACUAUAUACAUACCUCUUAUUUAAGCAGAAAGCAGCUUGCUUCAUUAAAGAGGCUCCUUUGACAUAUUCUAGGACUUAGUCAUCUCCUUCAUAAACAUGAAGCAUGUCUCAAAUUUUAGCUCUCUUUCAUUUCUGACUCACCUGCUGACCUGUGAUGGGAAGGUAGACGUUGCUAAGGGGAAUGAUACAGCAGCAUUUAUCUUGGGGAGGUCUCUUAAGCCCCCACCUGGGUUAGGAAUUACUUUAUGAGGCCAUGGGAAGCCUUGGUGCACUGCCAUGUUCAGAGGUCUCACGACCAAGGUGUACCAAGACGGUCUCCCUCAGGCCGUAGCCCCAUAGCCUCCAAAUAGAAGGGCAGUGUUUCAUCCUUUAUGCUUUGAAUGGAAGCAUAACCAGGAACAAAGUUGACUUCUGGGCAUAACAUGUUUCGGUGUCCCACGAACAUGUAGGGGCCCCUGAUCAUCGUAGAACUCAUUAUUAUUCACAAAUAUUUAUGUGCAAGUUCUGUUCUCUGGAAAUUGGAAGACAAUCAAGACAGGGUCCCUGCUCCAUGGACUCCUGGUACCUUCACCACCACCCAUAGUUUGCUGUAUUAGUUUGCCUUGUAGCAAUAACGUGGAUGGGGAUGUAAUUAGUCUGGGUGAUUGGCACACCUUGGAGACAUGACUUUGUGCCAGGCCUUGCACGGUAAGGUUUUUCUAACUUACUGCCUUUAAAGGCCUUGACACUGUGCUAAUGCAGUUUAUAAAUACUUACCAAAAUGUUGAAGAAUUAAGAUAGAAGAAGGAUGUAUUCGUGUAGUUUUGUAUAGUUAAUGCUAAAUAAAACUAUACUCUUGAUUGAAUUAAUCAAGCUGGGGGGAGAUUUAUAGGUUCAAGUUUGGUCUCCUUUGGUUUCCUGGAUUAAGGUUUUGAGCAGUAGGGUCAGAGGGAUGCUAAGGCUGGGAUUAAAAAUAAUUUUGACCUUAUCAUUGACUUCUGUAUUUUUGUGGCCCUGUGGUAAUUGUGAGUCUCCCUCUCUGCCUCUCCACCUGUUUACAGGGGCUUUUGAUCAUGGGUAUGGUAUACAGCUGUGGGCACCCGAAAUCCUGUUCCUAAUGCUGUUAGAUUUUCCUUUUCAGAGUAAGAGGGACCAUCUACUCAUGAACGUCAAAUGGUACUACCGUCAGUCUGAAGUUCCAGAUUCUGUGUACCAGCAUUUGGUUCAGGAUCGGCAUAACGAAAAUGGUAAAUAAGUCCUUCUGGUUUGAUUCUUACGUUUUCUAGCUUUGGACAAGGUUAUUUCUUAAAAUAUUCAUUAAAUGGAGAUGACCACUAUGAAAAACUUUCUCUAAAAAAGCUUUUCAUAACUGAGAGCAUUACCGGAAUGUUUAUUUAUUUAUUUAGUUUUGCUGAGUUCGUUCAUUAUUUUUGCCUUAAAAAAAACCCCAAACAACCAGAGAGAUGCGCCAAUAACAUCUUCCCCUUAAACUUGGACUAGAGAUAGCUCUUCUUUGGAAAUAACAGUAAUUUCAUUUCUAAAAUUCCUUUUUUUCCCCUAAUGAUGAGCUAAUAAUACCGAAAACAUCACGAUUCUGUUUUAUUUCUUUUCUCCUUUUCAAUAAUGUCUAUGAUUGAACUUCUCUGCAUCCAGGGCUGUGAACUUCAGUUUUGAAAGCAUAGCUUUCCUGAAGGGUUUGCAAUUCAGUUUGCGUCUUAACUUUCAGAAUAAUCAGGAAGGUAGUUCAGAGAUUCUUAGUUUUUCUUGCUCUGGCAUUGUAGUUUCUACCCAGUAACUUUGUUGACAUGUGAGAUAUGCACAUAAAAUGUGUAUUGCGUUUGUUCAGAUGUGUAUAAUCAUGCAUUUUUACUGAUUUUUCAAGUGUUGGGCCUCACGCUUAACUGAUUCACAUUUGUCACCCAUUAAUCAUAUGAGUUAGAAUUUGUCACUACCCACUUUCAGAUAAGGAAAUCGAGGCACAUGAGAUGCUCAAGGAGUUGCCAAGGCGACAUGUCUUCUCAGCGGGCCUGGCCAGGCUGGGAUCCAGCUGCCUCUACUCUUCCUUUCCCACUCGUCCUCACUGCUUCUGAGUCAACAAAGCAUAGCCAAACAGUUUUGAGGAAUGAUGUUCUUUUAUAACUCAUUAGGCUUUUCUUCUUUGAAAACUAUAAAAAUUUCUGUUAAGGCAGUUAAAUUAUGGUUCCUGAUUAAAAAUAGUAACUUGGUUAUUUUUUUCUACAGAAACAGUGCAAUUUCACUCCAUCCUGGAAUAUUUAGCAAUAAGAAAUUAAACAGGAUCAUUAAUUAUGUCAGUAAUUUACACGUUUGCUAAAAUGUGAUCAUUGUUUCUUCUGUUUUUUUCUUCGUUUUUUCAUUAAUGGCUUAAUGCAUUUCAGCAAACUGUGGGGAUUUAAUAAGGGUGUAAAACACAUCCAGCAAGAUACUUGUUUCCUGUUAUGCCUGCCAUACAUUAUUCCUCCUGACCAGACCUGGUUAUUUAUUGUACUUUCUUUAGUGGGAGGUGAACCUGAAAGAAAAAUCUAGCAAAAAUUUUCCUAAAUGUUUUGGGAGGCUCAAUUUUAAUAUCCUCUCAAUUAAUUUUUUUGACAGACUCUGGAAGAGAACUUGUCAUUACAGACCCGGUCAUCAAGAACCGAGAGCUCUUCAUUUCUGACUACGUCGACACGUAUCAUGCUGCUG
rnacentral:lncRNA from 1 species